rnacentral:rRNA from 1 species
ACGGGUGAGUAACACGUAGGUAACCUACCCUUCAGUGGGGGACAACAGAGGGAAACUUCUGCUAAUACCGCAUACGAUCACGGACUGGGAUGUUCGUGGUGAAAGGAUUUAUUCGCUGAGGGAUGGGCCUGCGGCCUAUCAGGUAGUUGGUGGGGUAAUGGCCUACCAAGCCUGCGACGGGUAGCCGGACUGAGAGGUCGAUCGGCCACACUGGAACUGAGACACGGUCCAGACUCCUACGGGAGGCAGCAGUGGGGAAUAUUGCACAAUGGGGGAAACCCUGAUGCAGCGACGCCGCGUGGAGGAUGACGGCCUUCGGGUUGUAAACUCCUUUUGUCGGGGACAAUGGUGAUGGUACCCGACGAAUAAGCCACGGCUAGCUCUGUGCCAGCAGCCGCGGUAAGACAGAGGUGGCGAGCGUUGUUCGGAAUUACUGGGCUUAAAGGGCGCGUAGGCGGUGGUGUAAGUCUAGGGUGGAAUGCUACAGCUCAACUGUAGAGCUGCCUUGGAAACUGCAUUACUUGAGUCGGUGAGGGGAAGGUGGAAUUCCAGGU